rnacentral:rRNA from 1 species
UACGUAGGGGGCAAGCGUUGUCCGGAUUUACUGGGCGUAAAGAGCGCGUAGGCGGAGAUCUAAGCGUGGCCUGAAAGCCCCCGGCUCAACCGGGGAGUGCGGCUGCGAACUGGGUUUCUUGAGGACGAUAGAGGAGAGUGGAAUUCCUGGUGUAGCGGUGAAAUGCGUAGAUAUCAGGAGGAACACCCGAGGCGAAGGCGGCUCUCUGGGUCGUACCUGACGCUGAGGCGCGAAAGCGUGGGGAGCGAACGGGAUUAGAAACCCCCGUAGUCC